UACGUAGGGUGCGAGCGUUGUCCGGAAUUAUUGGGCGUAAAGAGCUCGUAGGCGGUCUGUCGCGUCGGUCGUGAAAACUUGGGGCUUAACCCUGAGCUUGCGGUCGAUACGGGCAUGACUGGAGUUCGGCAGGGGAGACUGGAAUUCCUGGUGUAGCGGUGAAAUGCGCAGAUAUCAGGAGGAACACCGGUGGCGAAGGCGGUUCUCUGGGCCUUACCUGACGCUGAGGAGCGAAAGCGUGGGGAGCAAACAGG
rnacentral:rRNA from 1 species